CCUUCCCACAAAACUAAAGGAUUUGCACUGCAAAAAGACCAUUGCAGCAUCACUUUGCCAACUCACAAAUUUCUACAAAAAAAACAAUCACAACACAUUCAUUUUUCACACGAAUUUGGAUUCAAAUUGACACGUAUCAACUCUCCUCACUCAGCCUAUAUAACAACCUCACAACUCUCUCCAAAACCAAGCUUGAAAAGCCAAGAUGCCAAAUUUACACCUCAACCUCACUAAAACAGGGCUAUCGAAUUCAUCAAUACACACUACUUCCAACCACUUUUCCCAUCCAGAAUCACUACCCCAUAUACUCUGAAGUUGGUAGAAUUUGAAAGAGAAGGACUCACUUACUUGUUUGAGCUUGCAAAUCCACCAUUUUCACACCUUUGAGCUUGCUUCCGUACAGCCGUUACAUUUGGACUUGAAGUUUUAGGGUUCUUCACUUUGAAGCCCGAUUUCUCUACGCUAUCAUAAAAUUGUUAAGUUCCGAGCUUACUUCUAGCGUCCAUGAUCAGAGCUGAGCACAAUGACUACUUGCUUGUAUUAUGAAGCUUAGAGAUGCUUUUUUAGUUUUUCUAUUGGAAUGAGAAAGAUGACGAACAACACGAUGUUCUUCAGAUUGCAGCGUUUUAAUCACUCUUUUCCAAUUUAAAUUUAAAUUAACAAUUGUGACAAGUGUUUGGUUUCUGACUUUCUUGCUUUAUAUUAGUUGAUGAGUGUGAGUUGGUUUGACUAGUCAGGCAUUACAUUUUUUACUUCAUGUAUAAGACCACCUCCAGUGGUGGUUCCUUCAAUGGGUUUGCCAGCAUGACACCCAUCUUUUCACUUUUUCUAGUUUCAAACA